GAUGAACGCUAGCGGCAGGCUUAAUACAUGCAAGUCGUGGGGCAGCAGGUCCCGCAGCAAUGCGGGAUGCUGGCGACCGGCAAACGGGUGCGGAACACGUACACAACCUUCCUUUAAGUGGGGAAUAGCCCAGGGAAACUUGGAUUAAUACCCCGUAACAUAUCGAAGAGGCAUCUCUUUGAUAUUAUAGCUUCGGCGCUUGAAGAUGGGUGGGCGGCUGAUUAGGUAGUUGGCGGGGUAACGGCCCACCAAGCCUACGAGCAGUAACUGGUGUGAGAGCACGACCAGUCACACGGGAACUGAGACACGGGCCCGACUCCUACAGGAGGCAGCAGUAAGGAAUAUUGGUCAAUGGACGCAAGUCUGAACCAGCCAUGCCGCGUGGAGGAUGAAGGUCCUCUGGAUUGUAAACUUCUUUUAUCUGGGACGAAAAAAGGGAAUUCUUUCUCACUUGACGGUACCAGAUGAAUAAGCACCGGCUAACUCCGUGCCAGCAGCCGCAGUAAUAC
rnacentral:rRNA from 1 species